rnacentral:rRNA from 1 species
UACGUAGGGAGCGAGCGUUGUCCGAACUCACUGGGCGUAAAGCGCGCGUAGGCGGGCUUUUAAGUUGGGGGUGAAAUCCCGGAGCUUAACUCCGGAACUGCCUCCAAAACUGGAAGCCUUGAGGUAUGGAGAGGGAAGUGGAAUUCCUGGUGUAGCGGUGAAAUGCGUAGAUAUCAGGAGGAACACCCGUGGCGAAGGCGGCUUCCUAGCCAUAUCCUGACGCUGAGGUGCGAAAGCUAGGGGAGCGAACGGG